UACGUAGGGCGCAAGCGUUGUCCGGAAUUAUUGGGCGUAAAGAGCUCGUAGGCGGCCUGUCGCGUCUGCUGUGAAAUCCCGGGGCUUAACCCCGGGCGUGCAGUGGAUACGGGCUGGCUGGAGGCAGGCAGGGGAGAACGGAAUUCCCGGUGUAGCGGUGAAAUGCGCAGAUAUCGGGAGGAACACCGGUGGCGAAGGCGGUUCUCUGGCCCGGUUCUGACGCUGAGGCGCGAAAGCGUGGGGAGCAAACAGG
rnacentral:rRNA from 1 species